ACUUUAAUUGAAGAGUUUGAUCAUGGCUCAGAUUGAACGCUGGCGGCAGGCCUAACACAUGCAAGUCGAGCGGCAGCACAAGUAAGUUUACUUAUGAGGUGGCGAGCGGCGGACGGGUGAGUAAUGCCUAGGGAUCUGCCCAGUCGAGGGGGAUAACAGUUGGAAACGACUGCUAAUACCGCAUACGCCCUACGGGGGAAAGAGGGGGACCUUCGGGCCUC
rnacentral:rRNA from 1 species